rnacentral:misc_RNA from 1 species
AAAAUUUACAUUGACAACAAGAUGUCGGACGCAGGAGCAGAUCCACCAAAGCGGAGUAAAAAACUACCCCCAAUUUCCUCUGAGGAUGGCGAUGAACAAAAGAAACCCGUCAAAAAGAAAAAGAAAAGGCCCCGAGCUCAGAGGCGAACGGCACGACCUCUGUAAAAUCAGGAUGAAACGCCAAGAAAAAAGGUAGUGAAAAAGAAAGAUGGAGAGGGGUCUGAUAAACCUACUCCAAAGAAACGCAAGAAACCUACAACCACGGAAGAAGGUGAAGGAGACCCUAGUUCUGCUAGAAGUGCAGCAAGCAAAGACGAGGAUGUAACUGGAAGCAAAGCAAGUCUGAUAUCUAAAGAUACAAAAGGAAGUGGAACACC